CCUACGGGCUGCAGCAGUGGGGAAUAUUGCACAAUGGGGGAAACCCUGAUGCAGCGACGCCGCGUGAGUGAAGAAGUAUUUCGGUACGUAAAGCUCUAUCAGCAGGGAAGAAAAUGACGGUACCUGACUAAGAAGCCCCGGCUAACUACGUGCCAGCAGCCGCGGUAAUACGUAGGGGGCAAGCGUUAUCCGGAUUUACUGGGUGUAAAGGGAGCGUAGACGGCAGCGCAAGUCUGGAGUGAAAUCCCAUGGCUUAACCAUGGAACUGCUUUGGAAACUGUGCAGCUAGAGUGCAGGAGAGGUAAGCGGAAUUCCUAGUGUAGCGGUGAAAUGCGUAGAUAUUAGGAGGAACACCAGUGGCGAAGGCGGCUUACUGGACUGUAACUGACGUUGAGGCGCGAAAGCGUGGGGAGCAAACAGGAUUAGAUACCCCAGUAGUC
rnacentral:rRNA from 1 species